AGCUCGGCGGGGUGCGGCUAGUGGCGGAGCGCACUGCGAGGGGAGGGCUUUCCACUGUGGCUGGCGUGAACUCGCGUGCCCGGUGGAUAUCAGGGAAGAACCCCCGCCCCGGACCCCCAGAUCUGCCGUGGCCGAGGUAGCGAUCGUCUCUGCUGCCGCGAAGACUGUUUUAACUUGUACCACCUUCCCCUCCAUUUUUCCUGGGGUGCCUCUCACCCUGCAUCUGCGCGUUCAGAAAGCUGGAUUUCGGAAAUGCUCAGUUCAGAAGAGAAAAAAUUGCCGGGAAUCAAGUCAUUCUUUUUGUUAGUCGGUAGUCGAUUGAUGGGAAGUGUUCAAAAUCAUUUGAUGUGGUGACAAGGCUUCACCAGGUACUGCUUUCUAACUUGAGUUGGCCAUUUCCACAUGUCAGAUAGGACCAAUUUUCCUUUUAACUACCCACGUAAUACUUAAACACUGUUGCCGGUAUCACAGCUUUUCUUCAAAACAGGUAAUAUUAGGGACACUUGAAAUUUGGGAAUUAGAUUUACCUUUGCUGUUACUAAAUAAUUGUCAGAAUUUUAAAUGUCGUAUUCAUUUUACUCAACUAAUCUCUUUAGCUUUCCUAUUUAUAUUCCUACUUAUGAUUACUUGUAAUUCUCAUCUGAAAGAUUAAAAUAUUUUGAAAGUAAGACAGUAAAAUUGUGAAAUACUUUGGUAUUGGUUACAAAACAGUACUUAGGUACCUUCUUCCUGAUUUUUCUGUAUUUUUAAAAAAUAAGGCCAGGCACAGUGGCAAAUGCUCAUAUUCCCAACUGCCCAGUAAGCUGAAGCAAGAGAAUCGCUUGAGCCCAACCUGGGCAACAUAGUGAAACCCCAGUCACCAAUUAAAAAUAAACAAACAAAAAGAGUAUAUUUUUUGAAGAUA
rnacentral:lncRNA from 1 species